rnacentral:rRNA from 1 species
GACGACGAUGCGUAGGGGUUCUGAGAGGAAGGUCCCCCACACUGGUACUGAGACACGGACCAGACUCCUACGGGAGGCAGCAGUGAGGAAUAUUGGUCAAUGGGCGGGAGCCUGAACCAGCCAAGUCGCGUGAGGGAUGACGGCCCUAUGGGUUGUAAACCUCUUUUGCCGGGGAGCAAAGUGCCGCACGUGUGCGGUUUGGAGAGUACCCGGAGAAAAAGCAUCGGCUAACUCCGUGCCAGCAGCCGCGGUAAUACGGAGGAUGCGAGCGUUAUCCGGAUUUAUUGGGUUUAAAGGGUGCGUAGGCGGACGCUUAAGUCAGCGGUAAAAUUGCGGGGCUCAACCUCGUCGAGCCGUUGAAACUGGGUGCCUUGAGUGGGCGAGAAGUACGCGGAAUGCGUGGUGUAGCGGUGAAAUGCAUAGAUAUCACGCAGAACUCCGAUUGCGAAGGCAGCGUACCGGCGCCCAACUGACGCUGAAGCACGAAGGCGUGGGUAUCGAACAGGAUUAGAUACCCUGGUAGUCCACGCAGUAAACGAUGAAUGCUAGUUGUCCGGGGCG